GACGAACGCUGGCGGCGUGCCUAAUACAUGCAAGUAGAACGCUGAAGCUUGGUGCUUGCACCGAGCGGAUGAGUUGCGAACGGGUGAGUAACGCGUAGGUAACCUGCCUGGUAGCGGGGGAUAACUAUUGGAAACGAUAGCUAAUACCGCAUAAAAUGGAUUAUCGCAUGAUAAUUCAUUGAAAGGUGCAAAUGCAUCACUACCAGAUGGACCUGCGUUGUAUUAGCUAGUUGGUGGGGUAACGGCUCACCAAGGCGACGAUACAUAGCCGACCUGAGAGGGUGAUCGGCCACACUGGGACUGAGACACGGCCCAGACUCCUACGGGAGGCAGCAGUAGGGAAUCUUCGGCAAUGGACGGAAGUCUGACCGAGCAACGCCGCGUGAGUGAAGAAGGUUUUCGGAUCGUAAAGCUCUGUUGUAAGAGAAGAACGAGUGUGAGAGUGGAAAGUUCACACUGUGAC
rnacentral:rRNA from 1 species